rnacentral:rRNA from 1 species
UGAACGCUGGCGGCAUGCCUAACACAUGCAAGUCGAACGGUAACGCGGAGAGCUUGCUCUCUGGCGACGAGUGGCGGACGGGUGAGUAACGCGUAGAAAUCUGCCUAGUAGUGGGGGACAACCUGGAGAAAUCCAGGCUAAUACCGCAUACGCCCUACGGGGGAAAGCGGGGGAUCUUCGGACCUCGCGCUAUUAGAUGAGUCUGCGUCGGAUUAGCUAGUUGGUGAGGUAAAGGCUCACCAAGGCGACGAUCCGUAGCUGGUCUGAGAGGAUGAUCAGCCACACCGGGACUGAGACACGGCCCGGACUCCUACGGGAGGCAGCAGUGGGGAAUAUUGGACAAUGGGGGAAACCCUGAUCCAGCAAUGCCGCGUGUGUGAAGAAGGCCUGCGGGUUGUAAAGCACUUUCAAUUGGGAAGAAAAGCAGUCGGUUAAUAACCGGCUGUCUUGACGUUACCUUUACAAGAAGCACCGGCUAACUCC